UUCCGGUAGACGAUGGGGAUGCGUUCCAUUAGAUAGUAGGCGGGGUAACGGCCCACCUAGUCAACGAUGGAUAGGGGUUCUGAGAGGAAGGUCCCCCACAUUGGAACUGAGACACGGUCCAAACUCCUACGGGAGGCAGCAGUGAGGAAUAUUGGUCAAUGGGCGAUGGCCUGAACCAGCCAAGUAGCGUGAAGGAUGACUGCCCUAUGGGUUGUAAACUUCUUUUAUAAAGGAAUAAAGUCGGGUAUGCAUACCCGUUUGCAUGUACUUUAUGAAUAAGGAUCGGCUAACUCCGUGCCAGCAGCCGCGGUAAUACCGGAGGAUCCGAGCGUUAUCCGGAUUUAUUGGGUUUAAAGGGAGCGUAGAUGGAUGUUUAAGUCAGUUGUGAAAGUUUGCGGCUCAACCGUAAAAUUGCAGUUGAUACUGGAUGUCUUGAGUGCAGUUGAGGCAGGCGGAAUUCGUGGUGUAGCUGGUGAAAUGCUUAGAUAUCACGAAGAACUCCGAUUGCGAAGGCAGC
rnacentral:rRNA from 1 species